AGGAAACUCGCAAGGAAAGUUCCAACCGAUCGUCUACUUAAGUUCGAGAGAGUUUUCAAAGCACAAAAACGUAUCCCUAUGUCUGUUUUCAAAGCACAAAGAGUUCUUGACGAGAUUCACUGGCGUUACUACGAGGAAACUGUUAUGAUACUGACCCAAUGA
rnacentral:rRNA from 1 species